GAUGAACGCUGGCGGCGUGCCUAAUACAUGCAAGUCGAGCGAACGGACGAGAAGCUUGCUUCUCUGAUGUUAGCGGCGGGCGGGUGGGUAACACGUGGAUAACCUACCUAUAAGACUGGGAUAACUUCGGGAAACCGUAGCUAAUACCGGAUAAUAUUUUGAACCGCAUGGUUCAAAAGUGAAAGACGGUCUUGCUGUCACUUAUAGAUGGAUCCGCGCUGCAUUAGCUAGUUGGUAAGGUAACGGCUUACCAAGGCAACGAUGCAUAGCCGACCUGAGAGGGUGAUCGGCCACACUGGAACUGAGACACGGUCCAGACUCCUACGGGAGGCAGCAGUAGGGAAUCUUCCGCAAUGGGCGAAAGCCUGACGGAGCAACGCCGCGUGAGUGAUGAAGGUCUUCGGAUCGUAAAACUCUGUUAUUAGGGAAGAACAUAUGUGUAAGUAACUGUGCACAUCUUGACGGUACCUAAUCAGAAAGCCACGGCUAACUACGUG
rnacentral:rRNA from 1 species